rnacentral:rRNA from 1 species
GACGUAGGGCGCGAGCGUUGUCCGGAUUUAUUGGGCGUAAAGAGCUCGUAGGCGGCUUGUCGCGUCGACUGUGAAAACCCGCGGCUCAACUGCGGGCCUGCAGCCGAUACGGGCAGGCUAGAGUUCGGUAGGGGAGACUGGAAUUCCUGGUGUAGCGGUGAAAUGCGUAGAUAUCUGGAGGAAUACCGGUGGCGAAGGCGGCAUCCUGGACCGGCAUUGACGCUGAUGAGCGAAAGCUAGGGGAGCAAACGGG